rnacentral:tRNA from 1 species
GCGGGUGUGGCGGAAUGGCAGACGCGGCAGAUUUAGGAUCUGUUGUCCUAUGGCGUAUGAGUUCGAGUCUCUUCACCCGCACCA